AGAGUUGAUCCUGGCUCAGGAUGAACGCUAGCUACAGGCUUAACACAUGCAAGUCGAGGGGCAUCAUGGAGUUGCUUGCAAACUCUGAUGGCGACCGGCGCACGGGUGAGUAACGCGUAUCCAACCUUCCCUAUAGUAGAGGAUAGCCCGGCGAAAGUCGGAUUAAUACUCUAUGUUUUCCGUUGCAGACAUCUAAGAUGGAACAAAGGCUUGCCGCUAUAGGAUGGGGGAUGCGUCUGAUUAGGUAGUCGGCGGGGUAACGGCCCACCGAGCCAUCGAUCAGUAGGGGUUCUGAGAGGAAGGUCCCCCACAUUGGAACUGAGACACGGUCCAAACUCCUACGGGAGGCAGCAGUGAGGAAUAUUGGUCAAUGGGCGAGAGCCUGAACCAGCCAAGUAGCCGUGCAGGACGACGGCCCUAUGGGUUGUAAACUGCUUUUAUGCGGGGAUAAAGUUCACUACGUGUAGUGUUUUGUAGGUACCGCAUGAAUAAGGACCGGCUAAUUCCGUGCCAGCCGCCGC
rnacentral:rRNA from 1 species